GAGCUCGCAUUCGGCUCUCCGAUCCACUCCACGGUGCAUGUCUUGCCAAAUUAUAGAAACAAGUUUUAAUUGUCCAUUGUUGUUGCUAAAAUUAUCGCCAAAAUAGAAAAAUAACGGUGCGAAAAGACUGACUAUGUGCGGCGGAGGUGGUGACGAGCGGUGAAAGCAGAGCGAGGAGAGAAAAUAUUUUCACUUUUGGGCUGUGUGGUAGCAGCGCGACUCAAAUCAGCAGCUUAGUGAAGGAGCUCAUCAUCAUAUCACACACCGUGGAAGCAGAAAGGAUGACCCAAUUGGAGAAGAAUGACUUGCCAGUAAAUCAUUACGCUAGGAAUCAGGAACUUUUAAAAAUGGAUAAUGGAAACAACAACAACGCAUCGUCGUCUAGUGCAACUUUUACUCCACCAACGUCCACGGCAGCAUCGCCAGUCAACAUGAAUGGGGAAGUGGAAGCGGCCAAAAGUCCAGACCUGCUGAUCGAUAUUAAUGGCAGCGAAGUAGGCCCUAUUGUUGAAGUUCUAGACGAUCCGAUCCACCAUAUUGACCCACACCCCGUAAGUAAGAGGGCUAGAUUGAGCUCAUUGAGUCCACCCACUCCAAUCAUCACCAGUGUUAUGGGUGCACCAAUUCCGCUCCCAGCUCCUACGACCCUCUCAAUUGGUGGCAAUGCUUAUGGGGGUAAUCAAUCAUAUUUGGCAAUUAGUGAACCUGAACUACCAAAAUAUGGAAGUAGCGAAAGACCUUCUUCGCCUCGAACGAUUUAUGACUUUGGAAAUAAUGGACCCAGUGGGAGUGGGGUUUCCAAUGUUAGUUCAAAAAUGCCCGGUGUUGUUGGCUUUGGAAAUUUAGGAAACACCUGCUUUAUGAAUUCCGGACUUCAAAGUUUAUUAAACACGCCUCCAGUGGUAGAAUUUUUCUUGAAAAGUCCCACCAUCAAGCAAGUUUCUCCACCAAGAGCACAGUUAACCCAAUCGUUCCAAAACUUGAUCAGGAAUGCAUGGCAUGGACCAUCUUCGGUUAUUUAUCCACGCGAGUUUAAGGAUACGUUGGGCAAUAUAAUUGCCCAGUUUAAAGACUGUCGGCAGCAUGACUGUCAAGAAUUUCUUGCGUAUACGUUGGAUGAACUUCACGAACAACUAAAAAUCUGGAACAACAUAAAACGUGGCGGUGUGGAUACAAAUGAUACAAAUUCCUCUGGUUUCGCGUCAGGUCCACGAACGGAGAGUGCCACGAGUGGGUCAAGUGUAGAGUCCCUCUCAACUGUUAACGACUCUGAUGUCUCGUCCUCACUGCAAUCUCCUGGUUCUAAUUGCGAAGCAGAAACUUCAAUGCAACAAGACGGAUUGUCAAAUACAAAAAAGAGACGACGCCUGACUGAUGAUAGCGAAGUUAGCGCAAGUGUCCAAUCCGGAGAUAAAGAAGAGGUUAAAAAUUCUUCCUCAGAAGUCGAAAAUUCAGGACCGGUAUCGGUACAGCAUUCGGAUGUACAACAGGAUGAUGAUGCAGAAAGCGAAGUUGAUAUGUUGGAGGAGGAGGACGAGGAUAAGCGGGUUUUGAAACACAAAGCUAAACAAGCCGAAGGAUUUUGGCUGAAUUAUAUUCGGGAUAACAAUACUAUUAUUGCGUCUUCAUUUCAAGGAAUGUACAAAAGCACUGUGACAUGCUCAGUAUGCAACUAUGUUUCAACAACAUUUGAACCAUUCAUGUAUCUUUCAUUGCCCAUUCCAAGAACUGCGGAUAGAAAUCUUGACGUAAUGUUUUCUGGAUACAACGAUUUUCAAAUAAACAAAGUGAACGUUACCAUGUGCGUUAGUGACACUGUGGGAAGAUUGAAGGAGGAAGUAGUUGAAAAGGUGUUCCAUGACAUCCAGCUCAGCAUCCCUCCUCUGUCCAACUUUGUUGUUGCUGAAGUUGUAAACUACCACAUCAUUACCAUCCUUAAAGAUGACCAACCGUUGAAAAAUGUUAAAGAUGGAAUCCAUAAUGUCUACGUUUUGGAGUUGAAUCAAAACUUUAGUGAUCCAACUAUCGAAGUUGUUGGAGAUGUUACAGUCGCGGAUGAUAGUUUUCAACCAUUUCCCUCUCAGGAAUCAAUGCUUAGACCGACUACUUACCUUACCGAAGACUGGGAAAACGAUUCUACCAACGAAACUACAGGGCCCUCCGUAUCUACUGGAGGUGGAUUUAUUCCUGCUUCCGAUUCGGAUGGUACAGAAGAUGUUAAUGUCGAUUCGGAAAAUAAUUCUUGCAAGCAAGAGAACUCUGAAUAUGAAGAACUGAUGAGUUGUUCGGUGUGUUUGGAUGACUUACCAAAGUCCAAACUUAAACAACAUUAUGGGUGCUCUUGUAUUUUAUGCGCAGAUUGCAUAAAGAAAACGUCGGCAUGUUUGAGCGAGACUGACAGUGCAGCUGUUAAGGCUGAAACAAAGCUAAAGUGUCCUGUAUGUUCCGAAAUUGUGGAUUAUGAAAAGUCUUUCAUCCCACUUUUGAGCAGCAGUGAUGGUCAAAGAAAGCUGAACCUAAUUCCAGUCCUGUUUUAUUACCGGCCUAAUAUUGACUCCAACAAUAAUAAUAACGCGGCUCCAACUCCCAGAUUUAUUGGUCAUCCAUUAGUAGUACAGCUUCCAUCUACCUUAACCGCUUCAGAGUUUUACAAUUUUGUCGGAUCUAUUGCUCCUUUCUCGCAGAAUGAGUAUGCAAUUAAAAACACGUCUUGGAAUGGAAAAGAAUGCGGGGUCUGUUUAUACAACCGCAAUUGUACUGGAUGUGAGUUCCGUAAGGACGGAAUAAUUUCAAUCAACCCCAGGAAUAGCAUUUUGAUCUCAUACAGUGAUUUAUCCCUGGAUCUCAUUUCUUCAAUUGAACCCCCCACCAUGGCUAAAUGUGUUAAUCCCUACAGCGGUUGGCCCUCUGCCAAUUGCUUUAAAGAGCAACCUUUAAUUGACAUUUACGAAUGUUUAGAUACAUUUUCGCAAACAGAAUGCUUGGACAAUCAAAAUCCUUGGCAUUGCUCUGUUUGCCAGAAAAACCAACUAGCUACAAAAUCUAUAACAAUAUGCCGCUUCCCUGAUUACUUGAUAGUUUAUCUAAAACGAUUUGUGUUCGUCGACCAUUCCAGCAACAAAUUAAACAACAAAUUGAAAUUCCCAAUCGAAGGGUUUGAUGUUAGUAAAUAUAUUGCAGAGGAAUUUGCUGGGGGCGAACAUAUUUACGACCUUUACUCUUGUGUUUGUCAUUUUGGAUCUGCUUCUGGAGGACAUUACACAAGCUACUCAAAAAAUCCCAAAACCGACUCAUGGCAUUAUUUUAACGACGAUUCAGUUACCAACAAAUCUCCAUCGAAAGAUGAGUUUAGCUCUGGCUAUAUUUUGUUUUACGCAAAAAAAGGUCUGAAAAGUGACAUUCCUUUGAGGCGAAUGAUGAGCCCUCAGCAGACAUGCAACAUGGUUACUACCGGUGAUAUUGAUUCAAGCACGAGAACGAAUUCUGACGAAUGCGACACGACGUUCACAGCUCCAGACUGUUCUAUCGACGGCGAGACUUACACAGUGCCAGUCGGACCAGAAAACAUUAAUUCUGGUCUCUCAAAUACAAAUCAGGAAUACAUCAUUAGCUCAACAUCUGUGGAUGAUCAUUCCAUUCCAACCUUCGCCCACAACACGAGUAGCGAAUACUUUAUAGCGUCAUCUUCAACAUCUUCAUCGUCAACUAAAGUGAAUUGUGUUCGUGAAAAUGUGUCAAAUUUAAGUAUUGACGAUAAUAAUCGUAGAAAGAGAGUUUCAAAUAUUUCCUCUUCUUCUGCCACAGCAACCUCCUCCUCUUCCUCACUAACGUCUAAUGGGACGAGUCAGUUUGAUAACUUUGAGAACGAAUUUGAUGAAUCUCCAACGAUCAGACCGUAUGCUGAGUUUGCUAUCGAAAAUAAAAGACUGACUAAAAUAGCUCAGCGAUCUAAAUUUUCUCCCAAUGCACAGGCCCCAACCUCCAGCUCUGGACCUCGUAAUAAACAAAUGUAGGUUAUAAUUUUUGUAACUUCAAGUGAACUAGUUGCUCUGUAUUUUAUAAUUAUAUAAAACUAUUAAGAACAAAACUACAAAUCAUAGUAAUUUAAUUCUAUCCACCGCAAAAAAAAAUUGACUGUACGCUGAUUUAGGUUUGUAUGCAGUUUCUUCCUCUAUAUUUUAGACACAACUUUGUAAAAUCGUCAUAAUACAAACGCAUAAUUGAGCUGAGGUAAUACAUACUUGCAUGUAAUAUGCAAUUAUACAAAUAUCCUGUACAUAUAUCGUAGUUAAAAAAACUCUGGUUUAUUGAUGUAAAUUAACAUACAUAAUAUGUAUAAUAUAUGUACAUAAAUACAUAUAUUUAAUAGAAUGUCGCACGCCUAGUUUUUUUAAUAUGUAAAUUUUGAUGGUUUCGUCAAAAUAUAAAAUUGCAUUGUCUCAUAAUCAUCCUGAUCGUGAGACAAUAUACAGGUAAUUACAGAGUACUUUUAAUUCUCUCUAAAUUUUGAAUGUUUCACAUUUAUCAUACACACGUAAAACAUAAAAAAAACUUGAAAAAAAUCAUGUAAUCGAACAAAUGUAAUAAAAUAAAUAAAUGUCAAA